rnacentral:rRNA from 1 species
CGCCUGUUUAUCAAAAACAUGUCUUUCUGAUAAAAAUGUAAAGUCUGACCUGCCCACUGAAUAAAUAAAUUGAAGGGCCGCGGUAUUUAUGACCGUGCAAAGGUAGCAUAAUCAUUAGUCUUUUCAUUGAAGACUGGAAUGAAUGGUUUAACGAAAUAAUAACUGUCUCAAUAUAAAAUGUUGAAAUUAAUUAUUAAGUGAAAAAGCUUAAAUUUAAUUAGAGGACGAGAAGACCCUAUAGAGCUUUAUAUAAAUAUUUAUGGGAUAUAUUAAGGAGAUUUAAAUACCUAGAAAUAUUUGUAUUUUAUUGGGGUGAUAGGAAGAUAAAAUGAACUCUUUUUGAUUAAAAACAUAAAUUUAUGAAUAUUAGAUCCACAAAUAGUGAUUAUAAGAUUAAGUUACCUUAGGGAUAACAGCGUAAUUUUUUUUGAGAGUUCUUAUCAAUAAAAAAGAUUGCGACCUCGAUGUUGGAUUAAGGAAUAUAAUUAGGUGUAGAAGUUUAAAUUAUAAGUCUGUUCGACUUUUAAAUCCUUACGUGAUCUGAGUUCAGACCGG